rnacentral:rRNA from 1 species
UCGCUAGUAAUCGCGCAUCAGCCACGGCGCGGUGAAUACGUUCCCGGGCCUUGUACACACCGCCCGUCAAGCCAUGGGAGCCGGAGGUACCUGAAGUGCGUAACCGCGAGGAUCGCCCUAGGGUAAAACUGGUGACUGGGGCUAAGUCGUAACAAGGUAAC